rnacentral:ncRNA from 1 species
UCCACUGAACUCAAGCAUAUCAUUUAGCAAAGGAAAAGACAAACAAAAAUUGCUUUAGUAACGGCGAGAGGAAGGGAGAAGUCCAGCGUUGAAUCUCUCGGUAUUACAUCGUCGAGAAAUGCAGCGUAUAGGGGUGGCUCUCAGUGCGUACCGUAUGUCCAAAGUCCCUUUGACGGUGUCAAUAUUCUUUAGACGGCGCCAGUCCUGAGUGGACAGUGGAGCAAGCUGCAGGGCUAUAUUUUGGGGUCGGGCAGCCCAAAGUGGGCGAUAAACUUCAUCCAAGGCUAAUGUGGCCGCGAAUUCGACACCGAACAACUACAUU